UGGUCAAGUUAUUAAGGGUGCAGGGCGGAUGCCUUGGCACUAGGAGCCGAUGAAGGACGUGAUAAGCUGCGAUAAGCUUCGGGGAGUUGCACGUAAACUUUGAUCCGAAGAUUUCCGAAUGAGGAAACUCACUUAGAGUAAUGUCUAAGUAUCAUUAAGUGAAUACAUAGCUUAAUGAGGGGAACUCAGGGAACUGAAACAUCUAAGUACCUGAAGGAAGAGAAAGAAAUUCGAUUCCGUAAGUAGCGGCGAGCGAACGCGGAUUAGCCCAAACCAAUAAAGUUUUCUUUAUUGGGGUUGCGGACAUAUCAUAACGAAGAGGUAUCGUAAUUGAAGAGGUUUGGAAAGACCCACCACAGAAGGUAAUAGUCCUGUAUGUUAAACGAGAAGACUUUAGAUAUGAUCCAGAGUACCACGGGACACGUGAAACCCUGUGGGAAGCAGGAGGGACCACCCUCCAAGGCUAAAUACUACCUAGUGACCGAUAGCGUAUAGUACCGUGAGGGAAAGGUGAAAAGAACCCCGGGAGGGGAGUGAAAUAGAACCUGAAACCCUGCACUUACAAGCUGUGGAAGCACAUUUCUUGUGUGACCGCGUACUUUUUGUAGAACGGGCCAACGAGUUACGUUAAGUAGCAAGGUUAAGCACUUAAGGUGCGGAGCCGUAGCGAAAGCGAGUUUUAACUGAGCGUUCAGUUACUUGACGUAGACCCGAAACCGGGCGACCUACCCAUGAGCAGGAUGAAGCGAAAGUAAAAUUUCGUGGAGGUCCGAACCCACGAGCGUUGAAAAGCUCGGGGAUGACUUGUGGGUAGCGGUGAAAUUCCAAUCGAGCCCGGAGAUAGCUGGUUCUCCCCGAAAUAGCUUUAGGGCUAGCCUCAAGGUGAGAGAUACGGAGGUAGAGCACUGAAUGUCCUAGGGGGUAUUGCACCUACCGAAGACUAUCAAACUCCGAAUGCCGUCAUCUUAUACUUGGGAGUCAGACUGUGGGUGAUAAGAUUCAUAGUCGAAAGGGCAACAGCCCAGAUCGUCAGCUAAGGUCCCUAAAUGUAAGUUAAGUGGUAAAGGAUGUGGGAUUGCACAGACAACCAGGAUGUUGGCUUAGAAGCAGCCACUCAUUCAAAGAGUGCGUAAUAGCUCACUGGUCGAGUGAUCCUGCGCCGAAGAUUUCCGGGGCUAAAACUUACUACCGAAGCUACGGCAUCAGUAAUGAUGGGUAGGGGAGCUUCCCAUACGGGUUGAAGCAUGACCGUAAGGACAUGUGGACAGUAUGGGAG
rnacentral:rRNA from 1 species